rnacentral:rRNA from 1 species
GUCCACGCCGUAAACGAUGAUGACUCGUUGUUAGCGAUAUACCGUUAGCGACUUAGGGAAACCGUUAAGUCAUCCACCUGGGGAGUACGUCGGCAACGAUGAAACUCAAAGGAAUUGACGGGGUCGCACAAGCGGUGGAGCAUGUGGUUUAAUUCGAUGAUACGCGAGGAACCUUACCCGGGCUCGAAUGGUACUGGAGUUAAUCAGAAAUGGUUAAGUCUUCGGACUCGUAUCAAGGUGCUGCAUGGCUGUCGU